CCUACUUUCUCUACUUUAUUCUAACUUCUCUCCUUCUUCUUUGUUAUCCUUUAAUACUGACUUAAGUAUCAGAAAGCCCACAGCUAGAUCAGCUAUGACUAUUUUUAUCUUCUUCUUGUAUGCGGUUCGGUAUUUCUUCAUCCAUCAUUUAGAUUUAUCUGCACCCUUAACUACAUCAUCAGAUAGAAUUUUGAUGGCAACAUAUAUGCUGAUGCAUUACUUGUUGGAUGGUGAAGGGGCAC
rnacentral:lncRNA from 1 species